rnacentral:lncRNA from 1 species
CUCAUUUUUCUACUGCUCGUGGUAAGUGGCUUCGUGGUCUUUAUAGCUGUUACUCUUUUGUACUUUGUCUUUUUCUUUUAUUUUCUUUUGAGCGAUUGUGCGAACAUAGCAUAGCACGCACUAUGCCUUCUGUGUUGUAGCUGCCUGGCCAGGGCGACUGGCGGAUAAGGUCUUGUGCGUGGCCUCGAGGCUUAAAAGUAGCAGUGGGGCUUUGUGAAGGACAAAAUGGCGAUGGCGGGCCGUGUAGGUCCCCCUUCCUAUGAUGAGGACCUUUUCACAGACCUGUACUGAGCUCCGUGAGGAUAAAUAACUCUGAGGAGAUGGGCCCUGCAAGCCUCUUGCUUAGCCGUCUGUUCAGAAAAUAGCGUUUUCGAAAUGCCCUGAGUUGACCUAAUGUCUUAUUGGGCUCCUGUCUGCAGGAUUUACGCGCACGUUGGAACCGAAGAGAGCUCUGUUGUUGCAAUGUUCAGCCCACAAGAGCUUACUGGUGAAGGAAUGGGACAAGACCCAUCUUUAUGCAAAGCCAGCGUUACAGUAAUGUUCCAGGUAGGUGUACAUGGUUUAUGCUCUUACAGAGGAGACCUUGUAGAUAACCACUCCAUGAUGAACACAAAAUGACAAGCAUAUGGCUGAACUUUCAAGUGAUGUCAUCUUACUACUGAGAAGUGAGAGAGAGGUCUUAAGGGGUCUUUGAAUGACUAUUUUUAGGUACAUAAAAUGCUUUCCUCUGUUGUCUACAGCAUCUCAUAAUCUAUCCUGGGGAAUUCAGCUGCCUCCCAGGGUGAAUACAGGUAUUCCUGAUGACAGUCUGCCUCUAUCUUACAGUAAGUUGUUUUUCGAAUUCUAUGGGCCUAUUAUCUAAUAGAUAACUUAGCCAUUUUGAUAUUUGUUACCAAAGCCUGCUUAACCCAUAAAGUUUUCUGGUUCCUCUUGUUCUCUGUAGUGAUGUUUCUAGAUAGAUGCCCACUGAUAUAUGCCCCUUUUUUCUCAGAUAGAUGCCCACUGAUCUGCCCAGGGUCAGACGAAUGCUUGUCAGUUGUAGCUUUCCAGGAUUCUGCUCCAAUGAGGAGGAAACAUCCUGCCUUACCCCUGUUUUAGCCUGGGAACCAGUAAUUGUGAACUCACCAGGGUUAACAUGAAGAGGGCAUGAGAGCUUAUUCCAUAAGGAAUUGUCUGAGACAUUUGGUUACCUUUUCUUAGUUUGUCCAUUAGCAACCGUAACUAAAAUAGUUUUGGCUGUUUGGGAUAAUUAGCUAAUUGAAUGAUUUUUUGAUUCAGGAGCAGCUUGUUGCUAUAUACCAUUGAAAAGCCUUCAGAGCUGAGAGGUACUACUAACCAAUAACCUGCUUGGCUCAAAGGGCCAGCACCUUCUCUCUAAAGCCCAAGAGGAGUUUGAGGAAAACUAGGUGUCUGUGUUCACUCCAGGCUGAAGUUACAGGUGAGUAAACCUAAAUGUAAGGUGGACUAUGCUAAAAAUUCCCAAUGAAGAAACUUUCACAUGUCUUACUCUCUGUCCUAGUCCCAGAGCCUGUAAAGGUGAACCCACUGGGACUGGCUGGGGGAGAAGAGGAAGAUUUGUUCCAGAAGGAACUGUCUGAGGGAUGAUAAAGAUUUCUAUACAGAGAAAGGGAGUAAUCAUCACUUGUUGAAAACAUUGGUUUUAUUUUUUCCAGGUCUGAGCAAAUAAGGUGUAUAAAAAAUGGAAUCUGUCUUGGAGGACAUCAGAAGGUGAAUUUUCCAAGUUCUUGGACAACCUAGCUGUUGAAAAGCUUUCUGGGUUUGGGGGGUAUUUCAGAUGUACCUUAAAGUGUUAGCAGACACAGAUUAAGACACUGGGAGCCAAUGAAACAGCAGUUGAGGGUUUGCUGUGUAUCACAUUUCUGUAUUUUAUCACCCCCUUCCUGCAACAUUAUUUAUCUGGAAUCUACCUGCCCUUUUGUUUUUUAGAUACAAGGGCUUGGUUUUGUUACCCAGGCUGGUUUCAAGGCCAUAGCUUUAAGAGAUCCUCUCACCACAGAUUUCCAAAGUGCUGGGAUUGCAGGUGUGAUUCAUGGCACCCAGACUUUGCUGCCUUUCUUACAUGAUCCAGGCCCAGAACCCAAACUCAGGCACUGUAUAGAUGACCACUUUCGUAAACUACUGACCUAGCUUGUUGCCAAUUGUUGAUUGAACUUCCCAUAACUCCACUUCGUGUCUGUUCCUCUGUAUACAGCCACCUUCUGUUCCCGUCAUGAGCCUUUAGGUCUCCAUUUGCAUAUUGCAAAUACUAUGUUCCAUGUAGGUAGCUCAUUCAGGGCCUUGCUCUUCACUUCAAAAAAGGUUCCCUUGAGGACUGGCUGUCAAUUUGUGUUGCUGUGUUGGUUGUUGAUGAAAAUAAUAAAAUGAUUGAUUACAUA